ensembl:snoRNA
AUGUCCAUUUCAUUGACCUGCUUUCUUUUGUUUAUGUGAGCAGUGUUAUUAUGUGUUAUACAAAUAGUUGAUGGUUAAUUAGCAGAAUACUGAUAAAUAGUAAUGCUGCCCACCUUCUUUAGACAACC